GACGAACGCUGGCGGCGCGCCUAACACAUGCAAGUCGAACGGAGUUAUGUUGAAAGUUUGCUGGAUAUAUAACUUAGUGGCGGACGGGUGAGUAACACGUGAGCAACCUACCUUUCAGAGUGGAAUAACUUCCGGAAACGGACGCUAAUACCGCAUAACGUGAAGAAGCGGCAUCGCUUUUUCACCAAAGAUUUAUCGCUGAAAGAUGGGCUCGCGUCCGAUUAGGUAGUUGGUGAGAUAACAGCCCACCAAGCCGACGAUCGGUAGCCGGACUGAGAGGUUGAACGGCCACAUUGGGACUGAGACACGGCCCAGACUCCUACGGGAGGCAGCAGUGGGGGAUAUUGCACAAUGGGGGAAACCCUGAUGCAGCGACGCCGCGUGAGGGAAGACGGUUUUCGGAUUGUAAACCUCUGUCUUCGGGGACGAAAAAAAAUGACGGUACCCGAGGAGGAAGCCACGGCUAACUACGUGCCAGCAGCCGCGGUAAUACGUAGGUGGCAAGCGUUGUCCGGGAAUUACUGGGUGUAAAGGGAGCGUAGGCGGGAAAGUAAGUUGAAUGUUUAAACUAUCGGCUCAACUGGUAGUCGCGUUCAAAACUGCUUUUCUUGAGUGCAGUAGAGGUAGGCGGAAUUCCUAGUGUAGCGGUGAAAUGCGUAGAUAUUAGGAGGAACACCAGUGGCGAAGGCGGCCUACUGGGCUGUAACUGACGCUGAGGCUCGAAAGCGUGGGUAGCAAACAGGAUUAGAUACCCUGGUAGUCCACGCCGUAAACGAUGAUUACUAGGUGUGGGGGGACUGACCCCUUUCCGUGCCGGAGUUAACACAAUAAGUAAUCCACCUGGGGAGUACGACCGCAAGGUUGAAACUCAAAGGAAUUGACGGGGGCCCGCACAAGCAGUGGAGUAUGUGGUUUAAUUCGAAGCAACGCGAAGAACCUUACCAGGUCUUGACAUCGAGUGACGAACUUAGAGAUAAGUUUUUCCUUCGGGACACGAAGACAGGUGGUGCAUGGUUGUCGUCAGCUCGUGUCGUGAGAUGUUGGGUUAAGUCCCGCAACGAGCGCAACCCUUAUCAUUAGUUGCUACGCAAGAGCACUCUAAUGAGACUGCCGUUGAUAAAACGGAGGAAGGUGGGGAUGACGUCAAAUCAUCAUGCCCCUUAUGACCUGGGCUACACACGUACUACAAUGGUGAUAAAACAGAGGGAAGCAACACAGCGAUGUGAAGCAGAUCCCGAAAAAUCAUCUCAGUUCAGAUUGCAGGCUGCAACUCGCCUGCAUGAAGUCGGAAUUGCUAGUAAUCGUGGAUCAGCAUGCCACGGUGAAUACGUUCCCGGGCCU
rnacentral:rRNA from 1 species